ACGAACGCUGGCGGCGUGCCUAAUACAUGCAAGUAGAACGCUGAAGAGAGGAGCUUGCUCUUCUUGGAUGAGUUGCGAACGGGUGAGUAACGCGUAGGUAACCUGCCUUGUAGCGGGGGAUAACUAUUGGAAACGAUAGCUAAUACCGCAUAACAAUGGAUGACACAUGUCAUUUAUUUGAAAGGGGCAAUUGCUCCACUACAAGAUGGACCUGCGUUGUAUUAGCUAGUAGGUGAGGUAAUGGCUCACCUAGGCGACGAUACAUAGCCGACCUGAGAGGGUGAUCGGCCACACUGGGACUGAGACACGGCCCAGACUCCUACGGGAGGCAGCAGUAGGGAAUCUUCGGCAAUGGGGGCAACCCUGACCGAGCAACGCCGCGUGAGUGAAGAAGGUUUUCGGAUCGUAAAGCUCUGUUGUAAGUCAAGAACGGGUGUGAGAGUGGAAAGUUCACACUGUGACGGUAGCUUACCAGAAAGGGACGGCUAACUACGUGCCAGCAGCCGCGGUAAUACGUAGGUCCCGAGCGUUGUCCGGAUUUAUUGGGCGUAAAGCGAGCGCAGGCGGUUUGAUAAGUCUGAAGUUAAAGGCUGUGGCUCAACCAUAGUUCGCUUUGGAAACUGUCAAACUUGAGUGCAGAAGGGGAGAGUGGAAUUCCAUGUGUAGCGGUGAAAUGCGUAGAUAUAUGGAGGAACACCGGUGGCGAAAGCGGCUCUCUGGUCUGUAACUGACGCUGAGGCUCGAAAGCGUGGGGAGCGAACAGGAUUAGAUACCCUGGUAGUCCACGCCGUAAACGAUGAGUGCUAGGUGUUGGAUCCUUUCCGGGAUUCAGUGCCGCAGCUAACGCAUUAAGCACUCCGCCUGGGGAGUACGACCGCAAGGUUGAAACUCAAAGGAAUUGACGGGGGCCCGCACAAGCAGUGGAGUAUGUGGUUUAAUUCGAAGCAACGCGAAGAACCUUACCAGGUCUUGACAUCCCGAUGCUAUUUCUAGAGAUAGAAAGUUACUUCGGUACAUCGGUGACAGGUGGUGCAUGGUUGUCGUCAGCUCGUGUCGUGAGAUGUUGGGUUAAGUCCCGCAACGAGCGCAACCCCUAUUGUUAGUUGCCAUCAUUCAGUUGGGCACUCUAGCGAGACUGCCGGUAAUAAACCGGAGGAAGGUGGGGAUGACGUCAAAUCAUCAUGCCCCUUAUGACCUGGGCUACACACGUGCUACAAUGGUUGGUACAACGAGUUGCGAGUCGGUGACGGCGAGCUAAUCUCUUAAAGCCAAUCUCAGUUCGGAUUGUAGGCUGCAACUCGCCUACAUGAAGUCGGAAUCGCUAGUAAUCGCGGAUCAGCACGCCGCGGUGAAUACGUUCCCGGGCCUUGUACACACCGCCCGUCACACCACGAGAGUUUGUAACACCCGAAGUCGGUGAGGUAACCUUUUGGAGCCAGCCGCCUAAGGUGGGACAGAUGAUUGGGGUG
rnacentral:rRNA from 1 species